GAUGAACGCUAGCGGCAGGCCUAACACAUGCAAGUCGAGGGGUAACUAGAGUGAUAGCAAUAUUACUUUGGCUAGACCGGCGCACGGGUGCGUAACACGUAUGCAACCUACCUUAUACUGGGGAAUAACUUCGAGAAAUCGGCGCUAAUAUCCCAUAACACUGCGGAGAGGCAUCUCUUUGCAGUUAAAGCUCCGGCGGUAUAAGAUGGGCAUGCGUCCAAUUAGCUAGUUGGUGAGGUAACGGCUCACCAAGGCUACGAUUGGUAGGGGUUCUGAGAGGAUGAUCCCCCACACUGGUACUGAGACACGGACCAGACUCCUACGGGAGGCAGCAGUGAGGAAUAUUGCGCAAUGGACGAAAGUCUGACGCAGCCAUGCCGCGUGCAGGAUGACGGCCCUAUGGGUUGUAAACUGCUUUUGUACGGGAAUAAACCCUUCUACGUGUAGGAGGCUGAAGGUACCGUAAGAAUAAGUACCGGCUAACUCCGUGCCAGCCGCCGCAGUAA
rnacentral:rRNA from 1 species